UCACUCUGACGUUAUCGGUGUGCCAGAUCCUCAAAUGACUAAGAUAUACAAAAUGUCGAGUUGAUUUGAGGUUAAUGAGUGAUUAGAUGUGAAAAGAACAGGACAGUUAGUAACAGGAAGUUGGUGCACCACAGGAAGUAGAUAAUGUGUCAGAUCCACCGGUCUACUUUCACACAGCUCUAGAAACCUGGAAACUCUACCAGACCUCCAUCCACUGCUGAUCCCUGCACUGAUCUUACAAACAAAUACAGACAGUUUUGAAUUGUCCAUUUUCCUUUUCCAUCUAUAAUUUUUUUUCUUUUUUCUUUUUUUUUCUCAACUAUGACUUUAAUAUGAAAAAAUUAUAAUGUUUUCUUUUUUAGUAUCUACACUGCUGUUAUUAAGGUGUUCAAGGGAGAGGAACUACAGCUGAAUGAGCUGUACUGCUUUAAUCUAAAUACAGUACCAGGGAUGGAUAGCUGUCUUGGCCCAGGUGUGGAAUAAUUUUUCACUGAGAUUCUGCCCACUCUGCAGGCUAUUUUAUAUUCUCUACAGAUGGCUCUCCUCGGCUUCAGGGAUCUGGUCCUAAUGAAACUCUCUCUGGAUGACCUGCUGCACAAGAAUCAGUCUCUCAUCUCUGCAUCCAUCACACAGAUGCUACUUGUGCUACAGG